CUACGGGGCGCUCCAGUGGGGAAUAUUGCACAAUGGGCGCAAGCCUGAUGCAGCCAUGCCGCGUGUAUGAAGAAGGCCUUCGGGUUGUAAAGUACUUUCAGCGGGGAGGAAGGGAGUAAAGUUAAUACCUUUGCUCAUUGACGUUACCCGCAGAAGAAGCACCGGCUAACUCCGUGCCAGCAGCCGCGGUAAUACGGAGGGUGCAAGCGUUAAUCGGAAUUACUGGGCGUAAAGCGCACGCAGGCGGGUUGUUAAGUCAGAUGUGAAAUCCCCGGGCUCAACCUGGGAACUGCAUCUGAUACUGGCAAGCGUGAGUCUCGUAGAGGGGGGUAGAAUUCCAGGUGUAGCGGUGAAAUGCGUAGAGAUCUGGAGGAAUACCGGUGGCGAAGGCGGCCCCCUGGACGAAGACUGACGCUCAGGUGCGAAAGCGUGGGGAGCAAACAGGAUUAGAUACCCGUGUAGUC
rnacentral:rRNA from 1 species